rnacentral:rRNA from 1 species
UACAGAGGUGGCAAGCGUUGUUCGGAAUUACUGGGCGUAAAGGGCGCGUAGGCGGUCUUGUAAGUCCUGUGUGAAAUCCCUCGGCUCAACUGAGGAACUGCACGGGAAACUGCUUGGCUUGAGUUCGGGAGAGGGAAGCGGAAUUCCGGGUGUAGCGGUGAAAUGCGUAGAUAUCCGGAGGAACACCGGUGGCGAAGGCGGCUUCCUGGACCGACACUGACGCUGAGGCGCGAAAGCUGGGGGAGCAAACGGG